rnacentral:tRNA from 1 species
UCCCUGGUGGCUCAGAGGGUAAAGUGUCUGCCUGCAGUGCUGGAGACCUGGGUUCAAUUCCAAGGUUGGGAA